GUAAACAUUGGUUCUUGUAAGUGAUUGCUUGCCAGUACUGCUGACCCCGGCCGUAUGGGGCUGUUGUUUCUUCAGCUAUGCUCCCCCACUAACUGAGCCACCUCGAGUUCCCCUCCAGAGCGCAGGAAGGCAGUGCGGAGUCCCGGUAAUGGAGUUUGCCAUGGACGGGCUGGGUUUCCUGGUGGUACGGAAACAACGCACUCCCAGUCCCAGGGUGGAAGUGCUGGCGUCGGAGGGAAGGUCCUUCCGCGAAAUGUCGCGGGGAGGACCGCUUUUGUACGGGUCGAUGGUGGCUGCAGCGAUGAUGGGGUCCGCCCCCAUGCUGAUGGCGGAGGUCGAGGACAGCCCGGGCGGAAUGUUUGUGAAGACGCUCGGGGCCAAGGAGGUGGAGGCGCCCCGCCGGGGCAGCAAGUCGGGG
rnacentral:lncRNA from 1 species